AUUGAACGCUGGCGGCAGGCUUAACACAUGCAAGUCGAGCGAGCGGCGGACGGGUGAGUAAUGUCUGGGAAACUGCCUGAUGGAGGGGGAUAACUACUGGACACGGUAGCUAAUAACGCAUACCAUCAGUUGUGCCCAGAUGGGAUUAGCUAGUAGGUGGGGUAAUGGCUCACCUAGGCGCCGAUCCCUAGCUGGGCUGAGAGGCUGACCAGCCACACUGUAACUGAGACACGGUCCAUACUCCGAAGGGACGCAGAGGUGGGGAAUAGUGCAAAAUGGGCGCAAGCCUGAGGCAGCCACGCGGGGUGUGGGAAGAAGGCAUGCGGGUUGUAAAUAACUGUCAGCGGGGAAGCGUUACCCGAAGAAGUAGCAACGGCUAACUCCGUGCCAGCCGCCGCGGUAAUAC
rnacentral:rRNA from 1 species